rnacentral:lncRNA from 1 species
AUAGAGGCUCAUUCGGCUUAGGGGAGGAUGGCAAACCCGAUCAUUAGGCCCUGAGAUUUUUGAUUGGAACGUUGGAGGAAUCUGAAACUGCUCAUAGAGCAACAUCACAUCCCUCUCCAUCAGCUCGAAUUGAAAUCCCAAUGGGGCAAAGUCGGAGUCUUCAGAAGCCAUUCUCCUUCACAAGAAAAGAAGACUCUGAAGUAGAAGAUGAAGGAGGAAGAAACUACGAUAAAAGAAAAUGGAG